UACGGAGGGGGCGAGCGUUAUUCGGAAUUAUUGGGCGUAAAGGGCGCGUAGGCGGCUUGACAAGUCAAAGGUGAAAUCCCUCGGCUCAACUGAGGAACUGCCUUUGAAACUGUCUGGCUUGAGUCCGGGAGGGGGUAGCGGAAUUCCCAGUGUAGCGGUGAAAUGCGUAGAUAUUGGGAGGAACACCAGUGGCGAAGGCGGCUACCUGGACCGGAACUGACGAUGAUGCGCGAAAGCGUGGGUAGCAAACAGG
rnacentral:rRNA from 1 species